rnacentral:lncRNA from 1 species
GUUCAUUCUCUCUGUUCUUCAUUUCUCUGUUUUCUUUUUCUUGCCAUCCUUAGGUUACCUAUUUUUUAGAAUUUCAUUUUAAUUUAUCUAUGGUGUUUUUGAGUUAUCUCUUUUUACAGCUUCUAUAGUGGCUGCUCUAGGUAUACAUUAUUGUGUGUAUGUGUGUGUGUGUCUGUAUCACAAUUUCCCGGUGUCAUAAUUUUACCAACUCAAGUGAAGUAAACUUAUCUCCCUUCAUGUCCCUAUACCUUCCCCCAUUUAAAAUAUAAUUGUAAAUAGAAAGUAAGAAUAGAGAGACAAAAGUAGGCUUUCAAAUAGCUUGGCUGUGAAAAGCAAAGAUUAAAGCAAGUGCUGGUGGAAUUACAGGUGCUUUUUUGUUGUUGUUGUUGUUUUUUGUUUGAUUUUAAAAGGGGAGAGACCUGAGCAAGCCUAACAACUGAGAGGAAAAAUGCAGUACAGACAGGUAGAAGGAAAACGAGAAAUAUGAAGUCACUCAUACAGCUAGCUUCCCCGCCCCCACCUUGAGACAGAGUCUUGCUCUUGUUGCCCAGGCUGGAGUGCAAUGGCUAUUUGCUUUUCAUUUCAAAGGUCUCAAAUGCACCACUGGGGUGCAAAUAUUAUUACAGCCUUUAGGGUUUAAUAGUUUCUUUCAUAAACAUUUGUAGUUAGUAACAAACUUACAACUCUAUCCCUAAGGGAAAUUCCUGGCUCAUGGCUAUCGUAGCUUUAAACGUUUUCUUACUCUCUUUGCACACCAAUUCUCUACCCAGAUGAGGAGCUCUAAAAUGGGAGGAAAAAAAAUGUUAGGAAACUUUUUCCAUAGUCUAUCACCUUCCUAAGAAGCAUCUGUCAUCUUUCAAUGACAUUCAUUAAUAUUUCAAUUUUUCUUACUCUGUCUACAGAAAUAAAGUUAUGCUAAAAGGGAAUAAGAUAUGUAUAAGAAAUUAAGACAAGGGCAAUAAAAAAGAAUAGCAAAGAGUAAAAGUUCAGAAAUUAUUAGAUCUAAACUAAUUUCACAUUGAAUAUAAUUUUAAUAACCACUAUUUUUAGGAAUAAAGAAAAUCAUUAGUAAAAAAAUUUUUAAGGUAUUAUUGUAUAUCUUUAAAGUCACUUAUUCAAUUCAAUCUUCUUUACUGUCUAUUACAGCCUCUGCAUUGAUCAAUAAGAAAUAUUGUGAAGAAUAAGGAAUUCUAUAUUAACUAUUAUCAAAAGAAA